UAAUUUCUCGCAAAUUUCAGCAAAACCAAACCUUAUUCUCACUUAAAACCCUAAACAAUCCGCUCAUUAACAACUGUAAUUUCCAGAUUCAUCACAAACUCUUUGAACUUUUAUGAACAAAAUAAGACAGCAACAAACCCAAACCAUAAUCUUGGGAAACAGAGAAAUUAUCAGAUUCAAAGAUCUAAGCUCCAUAAAAUGUACUAGAAUUUCAUGCCAUCGAAUAAUUACACAAAUUACGAAACAAUUAGUCAACAGCUAUUAUGAAUGUCCUUGAAAGUCCCCUUUUACAUAUACACCAAUUCAAACCCCAUGACAUCCAAGUAACUAAGCCAUAACUUGUUCUAUGUUGCAAACCAAAGAUAAUUCUAGAACAUAGAACUUAGCAAGUGCACCCAACAAUAAGGUGAUUAUAAACCUAUUCAUACUCUAUUCAACCAUAAAUAUACCUCGAACAAGCUAUCUCCGAACUAAAUGAUAUACAUUAUGCAUGAAAUGGAAGAAACAGAAGUGAGAAUUCAAUAGCAACCAUCAUCCAAUUUGUUCACAUUUCAGAACCAAGCUUCAAGCUACUUUUAAGUGGUGUCCAUGGAAUUGAUAAAUACCUGGAAGUAAAUAUGAAAUGAAAGGGUGAGGAUUUCAGCAGUAACAACAGCAGAAUUGAGUUCAUAUCCAAGGAAAGAGUGCCACAGAUCAGUUCAAAUCGUGAAAUGCAACCAAGGAUCCAAUUUCGGAUUCACAGUAAAACCAACAAACUCGACAUCCAAGAUAAAUGACUGAAACUCAAACUAUUUCUAAAUCCAAACAGUUAAGAAAUUGAUUCAAGGAGAGAAAUUUCAGAUUAGCAAAUUCAAACUCAAUGGAACAGUGCUAAUAUUUUCAGCUAUUUUCAGAUUUUUUCUUCAUUUUUUUUCGGAUUUUUCUCUUAGUCUCCCUCUUUUUGGUCUAUUUGUUCUCCUUAUUUCCUUCUCAGAAUGUUCUCCUUUCAAUCUUUUUCGCUCUCCAACUCUCUUCUCCCUUUAUAAAUCAGUGAGUGUCCCCCUCUUAAGGUGUAUUCAGUCCUUUCUUAAUUCUGUUCCUCCCCCCUCCCCCCUUUCCAGACUGUAUACCCUUUUACACCUGUAUCUUUUAGCCUUUUAAUUAUAUCCCCCAUGUUCUCUGAUUUCCAGCUCCUAAAGGGGCAUUAAGCUAGCCAUUACCAGUCCUCUUUUCCUUUUUAAUUCAUUCCUCUACUUAGUGCUUAUAAUUAAUUCAGUAGUGCAUUUCUUAGACCCUACCACUAUUGAGAAGCCCUCUAAUUAAUUAUUGACAGGUUUCCCUGCCCAAAUUACCCUCAAGGCUUCUGUUAUUCAUCCCCCCUAAGUUCCGAAGUACCACAAUUAUAGUAAACAAAAGACUAAAACUUUUAACUAGAUUGAAAAAUCAAAAUCACUAUUAAAUUAAAUAACGACAUACAUGAAUAUGCACCAAAGACAAUCGAAUGGACAGUUCACAAUUUUAAACCUAAUUCAAACCUAAAAAGAGAAGAAGACGGGGCAGAAGUGGAAUAAUAACAAGAGAAGAAAAGAAGUAGUACUGGAUACUCACCAACUCAACGGGUUCAUUUGGCACUUGAAUUUUUUCCGACUUCAUCGCCAAAUGAUGUUAGUCAUUUGUUCUUUGUUAGAACAAAUGAUUAACACCAUUUUGUGACGAAAUCGGCCCUGAAAUCAUCAACAAUUCUUGUCUUUAACUCUGACUUUUAGAAUCGCAACUCAAGAUUUGAAAUUUGACCUAUUUUAGACAAAUUUGAGGUAAACCAGAUAUGUAUUGGGUAUGAGGAGGUCAAGGAGGUUAUGGGGUGUCAAUUUGGGGUCGAUUGGAUAAACUAGGGUUCGGGGUUCAAAUUUCGAUCAAAAAUUCGACGAUUUCGACCGUGAUUCGAAAGGAACGGUUUGAGGAUUUGAGAUAAUGAGGUUAAGGAGAAUCACUGGUGUUAAUUUGGGGUUGUUUGGGCCACCAAAACCGCCGUGAGGCGAUUUUCGGUGGGCAGAAAAGGGCGACGUGCGGUAGUGCAUGUUCUUGGUCUCUAAAGAGACGAGUGGGGGGUGUUUGGUAUAUUAAAAUGGGGAAUUAACCGGGGCCGUUAGAUUAGAAGGGAUCGACGAUCCAGAUUGAUCAAGGGGAAAAUGGGGUCGUUUGGUGGCUAAGUGGGUGGUCCGGGUAUGGGAAUGGGUCGAGUUGUGGGAAAGGUUUGGGACCGUUCGAUCAGGCUGAUUCAACGGCCCAGAUUAGAGCAUGUCCAAACGACGUCAUUUUGGUUGAGGUUGGAGACGGACCGGGUUGGGGGAGACGGGUCUGGGCUGGUUUGGGGUGUAUUUGAUUUGGGCUUUGGUGGUUAAAUUGAGUUUGGCCCAAUUUGAUUUCCUUUUCUUUUAUUAAUUCUUUUUCUUCCUAAAUUGUCUUCAAAAUUAAAACCAAAAAUCCUAACUCAAAUUAUAAAACCAAAAUGACUUAAAAUACUAAUCCAAUUUAAAUAAUAUUUAUCACAAGUAAUUGCAAACAUACAAACAUGCACGAACUCAUGCAAAUAAUGACAGAAAAUAUUAUAAAAAUCCACAACUGGCUUUGUGACAUAUGCAUCGCAUAUUUUAUUUUGAAUUUUUUGGGAGUAAUUCUCAUAGGGCAAAAAUCACGUGCUCACACCUUGGAUUGCAUUUGUGACAUAUGCAUCGCAUUUGCGACAUAUGCGUCGCAUUUGGGAAGACAACUGGCUUAAAGAUUCGUUGCAUUUGCGAGGAAUUGAUCACAAUUGCGAUCAUCGCUAUUGCGAACUUUGUAUCAUAAUUGCGAUAACUGCAGCUAGGUAAAAGAAGGGAAAAACAAGAUUUUUGUUUAUUCUUCAAAUUUUCAAAACAAGAAAACCCUAGAGGCGAUUUUCCCAAGCACCCUUCUUCCCCAAAUUAUUGGUAAGUGAUUCUAAUCCAUUUUCUUUCAAUCUUUCACUACAUUUCCUAAGAUUUCAACCUAAGAUCUUGUGUUUUCAUGGUGGAAAUUGGGAGUGUGGGAAGAAUUAGGGAUUUUUGCAAAAUGGGGAUUUAGAAUUACAUAACCGGACUCGGGGGCGAAUGAGUAAUCAGGGUUUUGUCCAAAUUUCGGGUUUGGACCAAGCGAUCCCGGUAAUUGACUUUUUCAAUAAUGACCUAAAUUGAAACUUUUGAUCGUGGGUAAUUUCUAAGGCUUAUUUUGAAUCGUUUGGUUGGUAAUUUGCUAGAUAUUGUUAGUUCGGAGGAUUGCUUGAAUGGCAAAGUUGUGGUUGAGCUUUGAGUGGUCUUUGGACCGAGGUAAGUGUUGAGUUUAACCUUGACUUGAGGGAAUUAGGAACCCUCGGACUAAGUGCUAAGUGAAUUUCAUGUGAGCGGCGUAUAUACGAGGUGACGAGUACUUAUACGCCGCCAAAUUAUUUAUUGAUCGUAAAGGUUUCCGUGGUUUGAAUUGUUAAUUUGACUAUGCACAUUAAGUUUUUGGUACUGAUAUGGUGGGAUCGAGUUGAAUGCCACAACAUGUGGAAUAGGGGUAGAUUGAUAUGGUGGAAUAAGAGUGAAUUUGUACUAUACGGUGGGAUCGGGUUGCACGCCGCAACAAGUGGAAUAAGGGUAGAUUGAUAUGGUGAAAUAAGGGUGAAUUAUGAUACUGAUAUUGAUAUAUGGUGAGAUCGAGUUGCGCGCCAUAACAAUUAUAUAUUAUCUUUGUUAUUGAUGUUAUUACGGUGAAAUAAGUGAGGAUUCUGUGUUGUACGGUGGGAUCGGGUUGCACGCCGCAACAACCUAUGUGUUUAUAUUUCAUGAGUUGUGUUGGUUUUCAGUGUUCUCAUUUGAAAUGCUAAGGAUUGGUAAUUCUGGAUGACACUGGCUUAUUUCUUGACGUUGUAGCUAUUAUUUUCAGUUGAUUGUUUUAUUUUGUUCUGUAUUUCCAUUUUUUGUCAUUAUUAUAUAAUGCGUAUAGGUUGUAGUGUAGAUGACCUGCCUUAGCCUCGUCACUACUUCGUCGAGGUUAGGAUCGGCACUUACAAAGUACAUGGGGUUGGUUGUACUCAUACUACACUCCACACUUCUUGUGCAGAUUUUGGAGUCGAUCCUAGCAGCGGUUAUCAGUGAGCUCGAAUUGGACAUCGUACAAAGACUUGAGGUACAACUGCUCAGCGCCCGCAACUCCUGGAGUUCCUUUAUCUUCUUUUUAUUUAGUUGUGUACCUUCUUUUCAAACAACUUUAUGUUAUUUUAGUCCCUUAUGUGUAUUAUUCUAGCAGCUCGUGCACUUGUGACACCGGGUUCAGGGAUGUAUUAAACGUUUGGCUAUUUUAACUUUUGCAUUAUUACUUUGGAUCAUUGCAGUAGUCUUGGUUCUUUUCUCAUUAACUAAUAUUGAACUGUUAAAAAUGGAUAGAAUGAUUUAAUGUUGGCUUGCCUAGCAAGUAAAAUGUUAGACGUCAUCAUGGUCCCGACGGUGGGAAUUCUGGGUCGUGACAGAGGGAAAGGUUGUUGAGAAGUUAUGAUGGUGGAGGUAGUGGAUAUGACAGGAAGGCUAUUUUCGAGAAAUGUAGUUGGAGGACGAAUGAUGGAGCUACUAGGAAGGUUGGGAAGGAUAUGAUAAGCGGGAAAAAGUUGGAGAAUAUGGUGGAUCAUCUGACACUAUGACCGGAGCUUAGGUGAAGGUGGCAUCUAGGAAGCUAGGCGGUAGCGGGGGUGAUGUCUUACCAGUCAUCCAAGCCUCAUACAUGUCUGUCAUGUGUUGUCUUAACAUCCUCAUCUCUUCAACCAACAUAGUGUCUCGUUGAAACAAUUGCUUUUGGGCGGGCACCAGUAUCAACCAACUCAAUUCUGUUGUCCUCUGUCAUUGCCUUUCGAUGUUAUAUUGAAGGAAAGAGUUCCCAGUUUAAGAACCACAAACCAACCACCCUUCUACUAUAAUGAACAUAACAAAGAGGAACAAAAUGAAGUCAUCACGUUAGUGUUAAGGCAUUUAACAUAAGAUAAUCUCACAUUAUGAGCAAUAUACCUAGUCACAGUUAUCAGAUCUAAAAUGAUUUCGAGGGUACGAAGGUCGUAUUGGCAUCAUCCCAAGUUCACUCUUCUUGCCCCUUUUCCUCUUUAUUUUUUUUCUUGCGCUCCUUGGUUUUUCAUUUUCUUCCGUUUCUUUUUCUUUCUUAUUAUUAGUCUUUUCUUUCCUCUCAUUUCUCACAUCCCACAACUUCAUCUUUUUUUCUUUUAAUAUUAAAAAUGAUUCGAUCGAUUCCAAUGUAGGUUGUCUACGUAUCAUGUUCCACAUGAAUCAGACCAAGCGUAGUUCUGGAAAAGUAAUGGACAAAAUAAACUAAAAAUAAAAAAAAAUUAUUUAUAAUAUUUUUUUGGUUUUUCAAAUACAAAAGGAAGUUCUAUAAAAAGACUCGACAAUCUCAACUAGAUUAUGACAGACUCUGACAUCACCUAAAAGACUCAAUACCACUGGACAAGACUACAAAGUAAAAGACAAACAUAAAAACAGACUCGAAACAUAAAAGUCUCCUUAAGAAGCUCUUGAAUGCAACGAUCCUAGCUAUGAAGGUUAUGGGGUAAGUGGACCCAUACCUGAAUUAGAAGAAUAAGAACAAAUAGAGUUAGUGACUCAGGACACUAUGUGAAACAAUAACAACAUUAUUGAAGCUAUUUUUGCAAAAUGGCUACAUGGCCAAAAGGUGGCUAGAAGUGCAAACACAACAAAGGUGACCACAAAGUCACACAGAUACCUUACUAAGGCCUACAUGGCCUCAAACUCCCAACAUAGUCCUCAAAAUUACUUUGCAAAAAAUGACCCCAUUGCAGAAAUGGCCUAUGUGGUCAAAAAUGGCUAAGCGUGCAAAUUCAAACGGAAUAGACCUAAAACUAAGAGGACACCUUAUUGUUGAUUUAGGGCUCUAUGACAUGGGUUAACAAGCUACUUUUGCAAAAAUAUCCCUAUUUCGCAAAAACGGCCGAUAUGACAAAUAUGGAUAAACGUGCAAGAUUUGGCUACGACCUCCGAAGCCAAGAACUUGAGACUCACUAGGAAGACGGACCCUAUGUGGGUUGCUUACGUAUCUCGCCCCAAAAGACGAGAAUCAAGUCUUGGGUUAUUGGAAAAUAUCCCUAUUUUUCGGUCUUGGGUUUGUUGUGUCUUUCAGGUAGUACGUGGUGGCUAUUGGAAACGAAAGAGGAACAAGCAUGAAAAUAUAUGAGUCCCUACUAGGGCGAGUAGCAGUAAGGGACGAUGGAAGUUGGAUGUGAACGAGCCAGGUGUCGCGACAUCAUCGUGUAAACUAAGACAACUUCCAGAUUCUAUUCUCGGGAGUUGGUACCUACCACUUUCCUAUUAUUCUUCCCCUUGUGCUAGUUAAAUUGUCGCCUUUCUUAGUUUGCAUUAGUGUUAAGCAUUCUAUUAGCUGCAACUUGUUUUAUCCUUGUCUGGUUCGUUUGCCUAGUGCGAGUGAGUGAUUCUCCUUAGUCUAUUGUAGGUAUAGUGGUUGUAGUCCGAGAUGGUAGAGUAAGGUCAUGUCCUCGGGGAGGCCAGGGGGUAGGGCAGGGGGUGGGGGAGGGGUCAGGGGGUGUGAUGGGAGGUAAUGGGCACAAGGGUGCCUAUAGGUUGAGAAUUGGGUCAUGGAACAUAGGUACAUUGACGGGUAAGCCUAUAGAGCUAGCGAAGAUCCUACAGAAGAGGAAGGUCAAUAUAAAGUAUGUCCAAGAGACUCAAUGGGUAGGAUCGAGGGCGAGGAAUACAGACGAUUACAAGUUGUGGUACUCUGGAGUCCAUAAAGGUAAGAAUGGUGUAGGCAUUCUGGUGGAUGGGGAACUUAGAGAGUCUGUGGUAGAGGUUAGGCGAGUGAAUGAUAGGAUAAUGUCUAUUAAGUUGGUGGUUGGAGAGUGCACCCUAAAUGUCGUGAGUGUGUAUGCACCGCAAGCGGGAUUGGAUGAGGAGGUCAAGAGGCGCUUCUGGGAGAGGUUGGAUGAGAUUGGGCGUAGUAUUCCGCUUGUUGAGAGGUUAUUUAUAUGAGGGGAUUUCAAUGGUCAUAUUGGGUCGACUACAUGCGGCUAUGGUGAGGUGCCUAAUGGCUUCGGUUUUGGGAUAAGAAUGAAGGAGGUACUUUGUUGCUAGAUUUCGCAAAGGCAUUUGAGCUAGUGAUUGCUAACUUUAGUUUUCCAAAGAGGGAGGAGCAUUUGUUUACUUUUCAGAGUAUGGUGGUGAAGACUCAAAUUGACUAUCUUCUCCUUAGGAGGUGCGACAUAGGGUUGUGUAAGGAUUGCAAGGUUAUCCCGGGUGAGACCUCACGAUGCAACAUAGGCUCUUAGGGAAGGACGUCAGUAUUAUAAUGAAAAGGAAGAAGAGGAUUGCACGAGGUCGACCGAGGAUCAGGUGGGGAGCCUUGACUAAGGAUAAAGAUCAGGAGUUGAAAGGGAGGUUAUCGAUUCUGGGAGCUUGGAGGAGUAAUGGGGACAGGAGCGUUAUGUGGUCGAUGAUGGCAUAUUACAUAUGAAAGGCAGUGAGAGAGGUCUUGGGAGUCUCAAAGGGUUACACUGGCAGGCACAAAGGCAACUGAUGGUGGAAUGAAGUGGUUCAAGGUAUAGUGGAAAUGAAGAAGGCAGUGUACCUGAAGCUAGUUGGGAGUACAUGCGAGGUAGAGAGGAUUGCGAACAGGGAGAGGUAUAAGGUAGCUAGGAAGGAGGGGAAACUAGCGGUCACGGAGGCUAAGACUGCGGAUUUUAGUUGUCCGUAUGAGGAACUAGGGACCAAAGGCGAGAAGAAAAGAUUAUUCAGGCUGGCCAAGGAGAGAGAGAGGAAGUCCCGGGAUUUGGACCAAGUGAGGUGCAUCAAAGAAAAUGAUGGUAGAGUAUUUAUGGGAGAGGCCCAGGUUAAUCGGAGACGGCAGACUUACUUUCAUAAACUUCUAAAUGAAGUUAGGGAUUAGGAUAUUGUGCUAGGCGAGUUGGGGCAUUCCGAGAGCCUCCGCAAUUUUGGAUACUGUAGGCACUUCAAGGUUGGGGAGGUCAUGGGGGUUAUGCGUAAGAUGAGCAGGGGCAGAGCAACCGGGCCUGAUGAGAUUCCGGUUGAAUUUUGGAAGUGUGUGGGUAGAGCAGGCUUGGAGUGGUUGACUAGGUUGUUUAAUUUAUUUUUAGGACGAAGAAUAUAUUGGACUAGUGGAGGUGGAGUACGAUGGUUUUGUUGUACAAGAACAAAGGUUACAUCCAGAGUAGCAAAAACUAUAAGGGUAUCAAAUUAUUGAGUCAUACCAUGAAAUUUUGGGAGAGAGUAGUAAAAGCGAAGGUGAGGAGGACGGUGUCUGUAUCAGAUAACCAGUUCGGGUUCAUGUUGGGUCGUUCUACUAUGGAAACUAACCACCUUAUUAGGAGGUUGGUGGAACAGUAUAGAGAUAGGGAGAAGGAUUUGCACAUGGUGUUUUUUGAUCUGGAGAAAGCAUAUGACAAGGUUCCUAGGGAGUUUCUUUGGAGAUUCUUAGAGGCUAAAAGUGUGUCGGUUUCUUACAUUAGGGCGACUAAGGACAUGUAUGAUGGAGCUAAGACCCAGGUUAGGACAGUGGGAGGCGACUCUGAGCAUUUUUCGGUUAUUAUGGGGUUACACCAAGGAUCUCCGCUCAGCUCUUUCUUAUUUGCUCUGGUGAUGGACACACUAACACACCAUGUUCAAGGAGAAGUGUCAUGGUGUAUGUUAUUCACUGAUGACAUUGUUCUGAUUGAUGAAACACGGAGUGGUGUUAACGAGAGACUAGAGGUUUGGAGACAGACCCUUGAGUCUAAGGGUUUCAAGUUGAGUAGGACGAAGAUGGAGUAUCGUGAGUGCAAGUUCAGUACCGAGCCGAAGGAAGCAGGCAUGGACGUCAGGCUUGGAUCGCAGGUUUUUCCUAAGAGAGGCAGUUUCAAGUACCUUGGGUCAACUAUCUAGGGGAUGGGGAGAUCGACGAGGAUGCCACACAUCGUAUUGAAUUGGGAUGGAUGUAAUGGAGGUUAGCAUCUGGAGUCCUGUGUGACAAAAAAGUGUCUUCGCUUCUCAAAGGUAAGUUUUAUAGAACGGUGGUUAGGAUUGGAGUGGUUGACUAGGUUGUUUAAUUUAUUUUUAGGACGAAGAAUAUGUUGGACUAGUGGAGGUGGAGUACGAUGGUUUUGUUGUACAAGAACAAAGGUUACAUCCAGAGUAGCAAAAACUAUAAGGGUAUCAAAUUAUUGAGUCAUACCAUGAAAUUUUGGGAGAGAGUAGUAAAAGCGAGGGUGAGGAGGACGGUGUCUGUAUCAGAUAACCAGUCCGGGUUCAUGUUGGGUCGUUCUACUAUGGAAACUAACCACCUUAUUAGGAGGUUGGUGGAACAGUAUAGAGAUAGGGAGAAGGAUUUGCACAUGGUGUUUUUUGAUCUGGAGAAAGCAUAUGACAAGGUUCCUAGGGAGUUUCUUUGGAGAUUCUUAGAGGCUAAAAGUGUGUCGGUUUCUUACAUUAGGGCGACUAAGGACAUGUAUGAUGGAGCUAAGACCCAGGUUAGGACAGUGGGAGGCGACUCUGAGCAUUUUUCGGUUAUUAUGGGGUUACACCAAGGAUCUCCGCUCAACCCUUUCUUAUUUGCUCUGGUGAUGGACACACUAACACACCAUGUUCAAGGAGAAGUGUCAUGGUGUAUGUUAUUCACUGAUGACAUUGUUCUGAUUGAUGAAACACGGAGUGGUGUUAACGAGAGACUAGAGGUUUGGAGACAGAUCCUUGAGUCUAAGGGUUUCAAGUUGAGCAGGACGAAGAUGGAGUAUCUUGAGUGCAAGUUCAGUACCGAGCCAAAGGAAGCAGGCUUGGAUCGCAGGUCUUUCCUAAGAGAGGCAGUUUCAAGUACCUUGGGUCAACUAUCUAGGGGAUGGGGAGAUCGACGAGGAUGUCACACAUCGUAUUGAAUUGGGAUGGAUGUAAUGGAGGUUAGCAUCUGGAGUCCUGUGUGACAAGAAAGUGUCUUCGCUACUCAAAGGUAAGUUUUAUAGAACGGUGGUUAGGCUUGGAGUGGUUGACUAGGUUGUUUAAUUUAUUUUUAGGACGAAGAAUAUGUUGGACUAGUGGAGGUGGAGUACGAUGGUUUUGUUGUACAAGAACAAAGGUUACAUCCAGAGUAGCAAAAACUAUAAGGGUAUCAAAUUAUUGAGUCAUACCAUGAAAUUUUGGGAAAGAGUAGUAAAAGCGAGGGUGAGGAGGACGGUGUCUGUAACAGAUAACCAGUUCGGGUUCAUGUUGGGUCGUUCUACUAUGGAAACUAACCACCUUAUUAGGAGGUUGGUGGAACAGUAUAGAGAUAGGGAGAAGGAUUUGCACAUGGUGUUUUUUGAUCUGGAGAAAGCAUAUGACAAGGUUCCUAGGGAGUUUCUUUGGAGAUUCUUAGAGGCUAAAAGUGUGUCGGUUUCUUAUAUUAGGGCGACUAAGGACAUGUAUGAUGGAGCUAAGACUCGGGUUAGGACAGUGGGAGGCGACUCUGAGCAUUUUUCGGUUAUUAUGGGGUUACACCAAGGAUCUCCGCUCAGCCCUUUCUUAUUUGCUCUGGUGAUGGACACACUGACACACCACGUUCAAGGAGAAGUGCCAUAGUGUAUGUUAUUCGCUGAUGACAUUGUUCUGAUUGAUGAAACACGGAGUGGUGUUAACGAGAGACUAGAGGUUUGGAGACAGAUCCUUGAGUCUAAGGGUUUCAAGUUGAGCAGGACGAAGAUGGAGUAUCUUGAGUGCAAGUUCAGUACCGAGCCAAAGGAAGCAGGCAUGGACGCCAGGCUUGGAUCGCAGGUCUUUCCUAAGAGAGGCAGUUUCAAGUACCUUGGGUCAACUAUCUAGGGGAUGAGGAGAUCGACGAGGAUGUCACACAUCGUAUUGGAUUGGGAUGGAUGUAAUGGAGGUUAGCAUCUGGAGUCCUGUGUGACAAGAAAGUGUCUUCGCUACUCAAAGGUAAGUUUGAUAAAACGGUGGUUAGGUCGGCCAUGAUGUAUGAGACUGAGUGUUGGCCAAUUAAAAACUCAUAUACCCAGAAGAUGAGAGUAGCAGAAAUGAGGAUGUUGAUGUUGAUGUGCGGGCACACUAGGAUGGAUAAGACUAGGAGUGAAGUUAUUCGGGAGAUGGUGGGCAUGGCUCCUAUUGAUGACAAGAUGGGGGAAGCGAGGCUCAGAUGGUCCGGGCACGUUCAGAGGAGGAGCUUGGAUGCACUGGUAAAGAGGUAUGAACGGUUGGCAUUGGUGAGUACGAGAAGAGGUAGAGUGCAGCCUAAGAAGUAUUGGAGAGAGGUGAUUAGGCGGGAUAUGGCGAGACUUCAGAUCUCCGAGGACAUGGCACUCGAUAGGAAGCUGUGGAGGUCGAGCAUUAAGGUUGUAGGUUAGGAGGUAGUUGAGUUUCAUUUAGUCUACCAGUGUGAGGCUAGGCUGAUAGGAAUUAGUCUUAGACUGCUAGUGGUCAGUGAUGUAUUUUUACUACUCUUUCGUUAUUUACUGGUUAAUAUUUCUGUUUUUUAUUUAUUAACUAGUUUUUGUGAUGUCUUUAUUAUUUCCAUGGUUUUUAUUGAUGGUACUGAUAUAUUUUCUCUUUUCAUCUUUUUGUCUUCUUAAAUCAAAGGUCUAUUGGAAACAGUCUCUCUACCCUUCGGGGUAAAGGUAAGGUCUGCGUACACAUUACUCUCCCUAGACCCCACUUGUGAGAUUAUACUGGGUCAUUGUUGUUGUUGAAAAAAGGUAAGAAAGUGUAAAAUCAUUUUUUAAUAUAUUUAGAAAAUUGGACAAGAAAAUUAAAAGUGAUAAAGCCCUCAAUAUUCUCUCUUACUUCAUUUUUUCACCCUUUUUUCCCAAACAUCAGUCCGCCAAAUGAUCUUUCUACCUUCAAAGAUGCAACAUUUAGCACAUAGGAUGAUUGAAUGUCCUUUUGGACCGUGGGCCCAUUCGACACAAUUUGGACAGUCUUCCUACAAAGGAACACAGUACCUAGGAACGGGCCAUGCUAGGUGAUAAUAAUAUGAUGCACAUAGUCGUGACCUAAAGGCUGACCUAUGUUUGGGGUUCAAUAACAAGGCAAUUCGGGGGAGCAUAUGGUCGAUGGUGGCUGCUCAAGCAUUCCACCCACUUCAUACAUCCUACGCCCCCUUCCCCCCUCCCAAAAUAAGGGUGACUCAACAAAGAGUUUGUGUACGUGAUGCAUACUACGAAACUUGUUGCAGAAACAAUUGACCAGGUAAUGCAUAUGAUGACAAUUAUAAAGCAGUAACACAUAAAGGAAAACUGUAAACACAUAAACAACUAGCAAAUAAUAAAAUAAAAUAAACAAAAUAAAAAUCAAACAACGCAAAUAAAGAACAUAAAACCGCAACUGAAUAUCCGAAAAAGCCAACAAGAUCAAGUAUCAGCUCGAACCUGCAACUCCCAGCAGAGUCGCCAAAGCUAUCACACCCUUUUUUUCACUCUUAACCCUCUUAGAAAAAGAUAAAGUGACAAAGUAUUGUAUUUCAAAGGAUUUUCAAAGUCGCCACUUGAUAUUUGGUUUCGGUGUGUCAAGUCACCAUUUUUUUAAAGAAUGAUUUUUUCCUUUUAAAACACCUUUAGACUCCAAAACUAGUUUGCACCAGAGAUUCAAAGUAAGGGGAUUCAUUUGAUUCGGGGAGAAGGUAUUAAGCAUUCCCUAAUCCCGUAAAUAGUACGGUUACAUACUUGAUCAAAUUGGCUUUUAAGAAUAUUUUAAUUGAAGUAAAACAUACAAAGAAAACAAAUACAAAAAGGUUCGAGGUUGUCCCUACCUAAAUAAAAGAAAAACAAAAGAAGAAAUAAAAAUAAAAGUACUAAUGUUCUAUCCUAUGCUUUCUCGGGGCAUUCCCUAAAUAAAACAACAAACUAAGGGUCAACCUCUAACUUCAAAAAAGAAAACUAAAUAAAAAACCUAAUAUUUGCUUACCCAGAUGUGAUCGACUUAAAUAUGCUACUAGCGAUACUUAAGGAAAUAAAAUGAAUUUAAAGGCAGUGAAACAACAACACAAGACCAUUUAUUAUUCUUUGUCUUUCAAUUAAUUUGGUUUAUUUCAGUUAAUUCAAAAUUAUUACCCCAACGACCCAUUGAAUUCAACAAUGAAUAAUAUCUAUUUUUCGUUUCAGUUGUCCACCUAAUGAGUUAAAGUAUUCUUCCAAGUUUAUCAUGAACUCAAGGUAAUGAACUGAUCAAGCAAACUAAAUUAACUAAACAAAGGAUAUAAGAACCACAAACAAUUAACACAAUUCAUCAACUAAUAUAAUGAGAUGAAAUAAAACAGAUAUAAGAAAUGGACCUUAGUGAGCGGAUUUCUUUCCGAUUAAUAGAACUCUGAGUUUACAGUUCUGUUUAGUUGAAAAGCAACGAGAAUCCGGCCGAAAAAAUUGAGCAGCGACCAAAGAUACCAACGGGGACACGAACACGACAAAGCCUCGAACAAAACCUCACGCCGACGAUAAACCGACCCUCUCCGCUUAGAUCGGAAUACUCGAUCACCUCAGAAGCGAAAGCUCUUUGAAUCAGAAAAUGUUUAGGACCAGAAACCUGGGACACGACAACCUUGACGAAGCCGCAAACAAAUCUGAGCUCAACGCUCAUAUCAGAAAAUCUGAACAGACCCGAAACAUUUCAACUCAACUCUAUUUGAAUGAUUCUUAGCUUCUUUUUCGAAAUCAAUGGCAGUAAGAAACCAGUAUAUUUUGGUAAUUUUUCUUUUGGAUCCAAAUAAGAAACUAAAUCAAAAUUAGAAAAAUCUUUUUAUUACUUUUUGUAUCUUCAGGAAGAAAACUAGAACAAGAAUCAAAAUCUUUUCUGUUUUGGUAUUUUGCCUUGGAAUUCCAGAAGGGAAAAAAUAAGACCUAGAGUUCUUCUUGGAUUUUUCUUAAAACUCCUUAUCUCACUUUCCUUUCAGAACGCCUUUGGGAGGUCUUUCGUUCUACUAGUGUUCACGGUGAGAAAUCGGAGGCGGCGGCAAAGGGUAAGAGAGGAAGGGGUGGGCUGCAGCUGCUCUUAGGAAUUUUUAAGGUUGCGUUUUAAAAAAUUAUAAUGAGGAUUAUUAUAUUUGGUAUGGGCAAA
rnacentral:lncRNA from 1 species